rnacentral:rRNA from 1 species
GCCGCCGCGGUAACACCGGCGGCCCGAGUGGUGAUCGUGAUUAUUGGGUCUAAAGGGUCCGUAGCCGGUUUGGUCAGUCCUCCGGGAAAUCUGAUAGCUCAACUAUUAGGCUUUCGGGGGAUACUGCCAGACUUGGAACCGGGAGAGGUAAGAGGUACUACAGGGGUAGGAGUGAAAUCUUGUAAUCCCUGUGGGACCACCUGUGGCGAAGGCGUCUUACCAGAACGGGUUCGACGGUGAGGGACGAAAGCUGGGGGCACGAACCGGAUUAGAUACCCGGGUAGUCCCAGCCGUAAACGAUGCUCGCUAGGUGUCAGGCAUGGCGCGACCGUGUCUGGUGCCGCAGGGAAGCCGUGAAGCGAGCCACCUGGGAAGUACGGCCGCAAGGCUGAAACUUAAAGGAAUUGGCGGGGGAGCACAACAACGGGUGGAAGCCUGCGGUUUAAUUGGACUCAACGCCGGACAACUCACCGGGGGCGACAGCAAUAUGUAGGCCAAGCUGAAGACUUUGCCUGAAUCGCUGAGGAGUGGUGCAUGG